rnacentral:ncRNA from 2 species
AUACUCAACAAAAAAAAGAGUUUGAUCCUGGCUCAGAAUGAACGCUAGCGAUAUGCUUAACACAUGCAAGUCGAACGUUGCUUUCGUUGUUACGUGUUGCGAACUUACUCUAGAGUUCUCAACUGAUGACCAUAUUUCCGUCGUCGAGUUGAGCCUCUUUUGAUUUUUAGUUCUCAACCGUGAGAACCGUUGAAAACAAAGUGGCGAACGGGCGAGUAAUAUGUGGGAAUCUGCCAAACAGUUUGGGCCAAAUCCCGAAACGAAGAAGCUAAAAAAAGGCGCUGUUUGAUGAGCCCACAAAGCAUCAGGUAGUUGGUUAGGUAAAGGCUGACCAAGCCAACGACGCUUAGCGGGUCUGUUAGGACGAUCCGCCGCACUGGGACUGAGACACGGCCCAGACUCCCACGGGAGGCUGCAGUGGGGAAUCUUGGACAAUGGGCGAAAGCCUGAUCCAGCAAUAUGGCGUGAGUGAAGAAGGGCAAUGCAGCUUGUAAAGCUCUUUCGUCGAGUAUGCGAUUAUGACAAGACUCGAAGAAGAAGCCCCGGCUAACUCCGUGCCAGCAGCCGCGGUAAGACGGGGGGGGCAAGUGUUAUUCGGAAUGACUAGGCGUAAAGGGCACGUAGGCGGUGAAUCCAGUUGGAAGUGAAGGUCGCCAGCUCAACUGGCGGAAUGCUUUCAAAACCAAUUUACUAGAGUAAGGCAUAGAGGAAAGCGGAAUUUCGUGUGUAGCGAUAAAAUGCAAAAAUAUACGAAGGAACGCCAAAAGCGAAGGCAGCUUUCUGGUUCUUUAACCGACGCUAAAGUGCGAAAGCAUGGGGAGCAAACAGGAUUAGAUACCCUGGUAGUCCAUGCUGUAAACGAUGAGUGUUCGUUCUUGGUCUACUAUAUUAUCGCACUGACUUCUGUAGAAUAGGCUACUAAAUCUUAUUAGCUAAAAACAGAAGAUUAUGUUUGAAGACAUUAAAUACUCGAUUGUUUUCUCCAACAAUCGUGAAAAAUGAUGAUCAGGGGCUGAGCUAACGCGUUAAACACUCCGCCUGGGGAGUACGGUCGCAAGGCUGAAACUCAAAGGAAUUGACGGGGGCCUGCACAAGCGGUGGAGCAUGUGGUUUAAUUCGAUUCAACGCGCAAAACCUUACCAGCCCUUGACAUAUGAAUGUCUACUAAGUGUUGUCCUUAACGGGAUGGUACAAUUCAUACAGGUGUUGCAUGGCUGUCGUCAGCUCGUGUCUUGAGACGUUGGGUUAAGUCCUAUAACGAGCGCAACCCUCGUUUUGUGUUGCUAAGACAUGCUUUCUUGUGUUUGAUACCUUGAUACUUGUUGUAUGAAUAAAAUAGAAUAAUUUUUACAAAUAAAACGCCGUUCAUGUGGCUCAACACUGCGAAUUGACAUAUGAAUAGCUAAUUUCGAAGUGAUAUCUACGCUUAUUAUUUUAAAAAACCUUAUCUGAUAAUAUUGGAUACAACUUCGAAUUCAACAUGAGAACAUUUUUAAUAGCUAUUCAUAUGUCUUCUCAUGAAGAGACUCAUCGCCUAUAUUUAAUAAAAAACAAGCGUGGUUUUUUAAUAAGCUGAAGCCAUGUGCUGCACUCACAAAAAACUGCCAGUGAUAUACUGGAGGAAGGUGGGGAUGACGUCAAGUCCGCAUGGCCCUUAUGGGCUGGGCUACACACGUGCUACAAUGGCAAUUACAAUUGGAAGCAAUGCUGUAAGGCGGAGCGAAUCCAGAAAGAUUGCCGUCGUUCGGAUUGUUCUCUGCAACUCGAGAACAUGAAGUUGGAAUCGCUAGUAAUCGCGGAUCAGCAUGCCGCGGUGAAUAAGUACUCGGGCCCUGUACAAACUGCCCGUCAAACCAUGGGAAUUGGUUUCGCCCGAAGCAGCCGACCAAGGAUCACCCAUUACUCCGCGUUCGAUGAUUUCUGAAUCCAAAAAAGCGACAGAUUUCGGGGUGUUCCACGCCGUUGUUGAGUGUGGUCCACCAGAGGCAUUGGUGAUCUUAUGUGGGAGACCAAGGUUGGGCCAUUGACUGAGGUUAAGUCGUAACAAGGUAGCCGCAGGGGAACCUGUGGCUGGAUUGACUCC